UACAGUGAACCCUCGUUUAUCACGGUUAAUCCGUUCCAGACUCUACCGUGAUAAAUGAAUUUUCGCGAAGUAGGAUUCUUUAUUUAUAAAUCGAAUAUUUUCGCACGCAUGCGUAGUGACGUAAGCGUGUAUGAGAAAAAAAUCGCGAUAGAGUGAAGCCGCGAAAUUCGAAGCGUGAUAUAGCGAGGGAUCACUGUACU